UUGGACACACACAGAGGGAAGGCGGCCAUGUGACAAUGGGGGCAGAGAUGGGAGUGAUGCGUCCACAAGCCACGGGACACCAAGGAUGGCUGGCACCACCAGAAGCUGGAGAGGCAAGGAUCUGCCUCUAGAGGCCCCAGAAGGAACCAGCCCUGCCCAGACCUUGACUUUGGACCUGCAGCCUCCAGAACUGUGAGAGAGUAAAUGUCUGUUGCUUUAAGCCCCAGGUUUACAGACAUACAGGUCCCGAGACACUGAUACUGCCCUCAACACGCCAGGGUGCUCACAGGCUCACGCCCUCUUGCCAGCCUGUCACCCCUCAGAGGGAAAUAAACAUCGCUGCCCUCCUGCAGCUGGCAGACCCCAUGGGAACCCCCAGAGCAGCAGUUACACAGUGGGGGUGAAGCCACAACAGGAGAGGGAAGGGCUCUGUGGGAAAGGGAGAAGCACGGCCAGGUCGCAGAGGGCAGAAGCAGAUGGGGACCCCUCCCAGGCCUCCAGCCAGUGUGGCUGGGCACAGAGCCCGUAGGUGGCCUUUUGGAGGCCACUCUGGUGACGAGAAGUGCGAUGUACCCCACCUCUGUUUCUCCUUCAAAGCUCAGAGUCUGCUUCUCCCACUUCACCUGUGGAGAAACUGAGGCCAAAGGAGGCUUCAGUGUUGGCCCAGGACCCCACAGCAUGCAGUGAAGAAUGGGGGUCAAACCACAAGACAAUACUCCCUCCAAAGUCGGGCUCUGUGCGCAGCGGCGCUCAGCUGAAGAUGGCCCUGGCUGACGGUCCCAACAGGAUCCUGGGAGCUGUCAAGGCCCCAUCCGGUCCCAGGGUCCCCAGAGCUGUGUCUGCCUCCUGCCUGAGCUGCCCUGAGAAGUGAGGCUCUUCCCCCUGCCCUGGGACGGGGCAACACCUCACGCCAGGCACUGCACCCCGACCCCGCCAUUCACGACAGCUUUACAAGAAGUGCGGCCCCACUGCCAACCACCUGACCAGCUUCCCAGCGUGAUGACUGUGAUGGCAGCAGCGGGGCCCACCAAAGCCCAGCCAGCCGCCAGACCCGGACACCACAGGCCACAGGCCACCCACGCCCCCACUGCCGGAGCCUCGCCCAGACGAGGGCACUGCCCAGGUCUGAACCACCACUGGCUCCGGCCACGGCCAAGCACAGAAGUCAGGAAUGCAGCAAAGGCGGUCACUGUUCCCUUCUAGGCACAGAGACAGGGAAAGGUGAGGACCGGGCACUGAGCGGUAGAUGCCAAGAGCCAGGAUGGGGACUCACAGCCACAGCGGAUGACCCAGAGGAACCCUGGAAAUACCAGCCAGAAGCCCCUGGUACCGUGGGGAUGGGGAGGGGACAUCUGGAGGUGCCACCAUAAUAAGAGGACCAUUUU
rnacentral:lncRNA from 1 species